GCUAAACAAUUAUAUUUGGCUUGACAGAGAGUGAUGAAAACAGUCAUUUAAACUUUUUUAUAAAGGAUAACUUUUACUACCUGAUGCCAUAUUUGUGGUUACUGACUAGAUCAAGCUAUUGGAGGAAGAGAGUAGAGUACUGGGAUAGGUUGCAAGUUCCUGUUAUGUGCAUAAUUGGAGAACGGAUCAUUUCCUUCCUUUAUGAUAUAAUUGUGAGGAGAAUUUCAGAUAGGCCUAAGGGUUUCUUAGAUUAUUCAGAAAUAGCAUGGAAGAACAUUUCAGUAUUUCUUCCAUUCCUGCUAAAGAUUAUCUGAAAAGGUGAGAGUAAAAAAUAAAUGACCUCUUUGGGCAGUCAUUGGCUGGUAGUUUUUCUCCGUUGACUAUUCUUGACCAUUCUAAAGUCAUCUAAUUUGUGUGUCUCACUUUUGACUAUAUUGUUUAGGUCUCAGGUGAAUGUGAUGAAGAAAAGACGCAGUUGCAGCUACGCUGAGGACAGCUGGCCUCCUCAAAAACAUUUCCUUCAUUCGUAAAUCUUAACUGUGAACCGCAGGAUGUAAUAGUUCCAAGAAAAGACACUUCUGCUGGCUUUGAUUUUAUCUGUUAACAGUAUUACUCAUUCAAGUGUUCUUCACUUCCAUCUUUUGUCCUCGAAAACACCCCUUGGUGAUAUGAUUGUAAGGAUAGGUGAUGACUGAAUAGGAAACUGAUGCCAUUCAUUAUUUCUGCUACUAUCUUUAAAACCAAGAUGGUCUUCAAAAUGUAUGGAGACUCUUCUUUCAUUUGUUCAGUGGACACUCCUUGAAGAUCAGAAAAACUGGACUGAGAAAGCUGAUGUACGAAAUUGACAUAAAGGUUGUCAUUGGAGAAAAUUUAACCAGGCAUGUUAACUGUUUUAUUGUUGCCUUAGACUAAAUCUCAGGUGCUUGAAUGGUGAUGAUUUAUGUCAGGAUGGUGUAAUUGCAAGACUUCAUUUCAGUGUUCCCAUAAGUGUAUAUAUUUACAUGUUUAAAAUGAUUUAUAAAACUACCAUCUUUUCAAGAUUUCAAGAGACAUAAGAAUUUCUGAAGCAUAGUUUUACUUAAAUGCCUUUUUAUUCUAAUCCUAUUCCCCAAAUUAUCUACUAUUGGAAUUUUUGUGCAUAUCCUUUUGAUGUGUUAGUGAACUGAUGUGCAAGUAGUUAUUUUUGGCCUAUAAGAUAGAAAUUUCUAUUCAGUGAACAUGCUUAUAUCUUAAUUACUUUGAAUUUGUCCAACUGAUUUGUUGAAAUUACUCCAGUGAAUUGAAACUGCCAGAACUAAGGGUAUCCAAAAUUUAUAUUUUGAGUCAAAACUACAGGUUUCCCUCUUAAUCGUAGAAAUGGGUCUCAUCAGUCUUGUCUCCCAGUGUUUAUGAGAGUUCUGUUUCUUAAAACAGUGGAAAUAAUUAGAUACCAGUGUUUUAUUCUUUGACAAUGUUACAUUACAAAGAAACAGCUUUAUUUCUGUUAUUGUUCAGCUUACUCAUUUUCAUAUAUUCUUAAUCCUUACUAGUCAUUUGCCACAUUUCAUUUUCCUGUUUUGUUAUUUUUAGUUACUCUUGCAAUAUUACUGUCUUUGUUACUGGUUUCUAGGAACUUCUUUUUAACUUUGAAUGUCAACCAUUUGUCAUGCAUUACAAAUGAAAUACCAUGUUUUUUGCUAUCAUUUUACUAUGUGUUUUAUUUUUGGUUGUACAGAAGUUAUGUAUUGAAAUACAGUCACGAUUUGUUUCAUGCCUAUUGAGUUUUGUGUUUUUCUUCAAAAAAGGUUAAAUACAUUUGUCUGUAUUUUCUUGUAUUUUUCAUCAAUUAUUUUGUCAUUUACUUUUUCCAUUAAUCAUCUCUGUGAUUUUAAAGCAUUAAAGCAUUACAUUUUCAAUUUACUCACCAUGACUUAAGCAGUUACCACUUAAUUUUAAAUUCUACCAUAAUACAGAAAUUUCCACAUAUAAAGGGCUGCAUUUCAAUUUAUAUGUUCACUUUACCUUUUAUUGAUACAUUAAAAUUACUGAUGCUUUUUAGUCUUAUCUAUUCCAUUUGGUUCUAUUUCAUUUCUCUUUUUUUCAGAAUAUUCCCUGUUUAUACUUGCAUUUUUUUCUCUCAAUUGACGCUUAGAAUUAUGUUUCAAGUUGGAAAAAAAUGCUGUUUUAAUUUCCUUUCUACCAAAUUUAAUAGAUUAAUUAGGAGAGUAUAGAUCUCUUUAAAACUGAGUCUUCUUAUCCAACUGCAAGUUUUAACUGAGGUGUUACCAGUUUAAGAAGUGAGACCUUUUAGAUGCUUCACUACCUGAUAUUUCUAUUACAAUCCAAAUUCUUAUACUUGUAUAUAAUUUCUGUGGACUUCAUUCUUCAAAAUUACUGCAUCUUUCGUAAGCAAGGACUAAAGAGAUUUUGACUGCAGGUAAGAGCCUUAAAGCCUGUAUCCUGGUUUUUAAGAGAUCCUUUUGGCUAUAGAUGAUAGAUUAGAUUCUUUUCUGAAUUGUGUGAUACUACAUUUCUU